ACUUACAUAGCUUAUAUAAGAGCAUUGCAUUGAAGCUGCAAGGGAGGUAAUUAAUACCUGUAGGUA
rnacentral:tRNA from 1 species